rnacentral:lncRNA from 1 species
AUGUUUCACGGUCAUGUCUUCGAUAAUUCGAGCUGUGAGCGUCGCGUCGAUUCGUACUUUCAUAUCUUGGACAUUGAAAUUUGCGUUGCAGCUAUUUAUUCCUUUACAUGAACAUGGCUGUGAGUUAGAAGAAAAAGUAGGGCUGCUAGCUGCUCCAUCUUGAAGAUCAUUGUUUUUUGGACAUUUGAGCAGUGUAAGUGACGAUUAGAUCGCACGAGGUAACAACAAAACGAUAAGAUGGAAGAAUCAGCUGCUGAUUGGAGCCUGAAGGUCACCGCGAUGCAACCGAGUGCACAAAACAGUGAAGCGGGCUGACAGCCUGCAGACGUCAAGGCGAUCGUGUUUGGCACCACAAACCAGAAGGAGGCUUAUUGAUGCCGAUCUGAUUCACGCAGGGCAUGGUGAUCGGCAAAAUGAGCCGCUCUGCAGCGAGUUCGUCUUCGAAUUUUCACCAGGCACAGGGCAAGGUAGAAUCGGUUGGUUGGAAGGAAAAGAGGCAGGUAGGCAGGC